AAAAUCAAUGAGAUGUUAAUAAUUAUCGAACUUUGAUAUUAGAUCAGCUAAUUCAAAAAUUUUUACAAGUAACAACAAAAAGAAUACACACUAUGCAGACGGUCGAGAAACGCUAUUUCUUUUGGAGAUAAAUGAACCAAUCCAAAUUCAUAUCACGCGCAUGCGCAAUUCUGUACUUUACGAUGGUAGCAAAGCCAACAUACUACAUCACGGUUCUCAAGAGAUUCUCGUCUUCAGCUUCAGUCAGUGCUUGGUAUUCGACUCGAGCGGAUAUGUUUUGUGACAAAAACACCAAAGACAUUAGAAUAUUAACCAGAUUCUAAAAAAAAAAAACAUGAAUGAAUCAUUCUAAGAUAACCGACUAGAAAUUGGAGAUAUUAUUGAAUACGAAGGGAUUCCCUUUGUUGUUUUAUCGAUCGUCAAUAGUAAGCAAAUUGACAUGUAUAUAUAAAGAAACUCACGAUUGUCCUGCAAACUUGUGGUUAUGGAAUAAUGGUUGUCAAGUCCUAACCAAAUUACACGAAAAUCACGACGAAAAAGAAGAUGAAGAAAAUAUCGAUCCAAGGGGUUUGCAUCAUAACAACAAUGGACUGAAGAAUCUUCAACGUAAACGGGGUGGAGAAAAAUCUAGCCAUCGUCCAAUGAAAAUGCCCAAACGUGGAUCGAAACCUCCAGCCGUGCCUAAAACGUUGGCAAAAUUAGAGGAUAUGCUCAAUAAUUAUCCAUUGAUUAAGCAUUACUAUCAAGGAUCUUUGAGUACCGCUGAUGAUGAGUCAGCUUUUAUUUUCGCUGACAAAGAUAUUCUUGAACGACUACAUACCGAAAAUAUAAUAUAUAUCGAUACCUGUAACCAAUUAAUACCUAAAACACCCAAAAUCAGCACAUUAUUAAUGAUUCUUGCACAGCGUGGUGAUAAAUCCUUUCCAAUCAUGCUAUGCUUAUGCAGUGGACGAUCACAACCAUUAUUUUCCGCAAUUUUUGGCUUUCUUCAACAGCAGGGACCAACAUUAUGCAACAAUAUUGACACAAUUGUUUCAUCUUUAGAGAAAGAACUGAUCUCCUCCAUCAGAGAAAGUUUUCCAUUAAAAAAUGUUAGAUAUGACUGGAAAAAUGUAGUUAAGAAUUUGACUCGUGAAUGGUGCCAAAACUACCGAUACUGAGUCAAGAUGAUGCAUUAAAGUUCUCAUAGGCACUGCUAUUGGUUCCUAUAAGUCUUCGAGAAGAAGCUUUUAAUAAAAUUUUGGAAGAAGCUGAAAAAAUUGAAGAUGCUUAUAAAGAAAUGCCAAAAUAUUUAAGAUAUUUACAGAGAUUGGACAGAAUUUUAAAAGUUCCGGACCAAUAAGAGUGAUAAAUAUCACAGGAACUUUCGCUCAAGACUUGAUCGAGCAGUGUGGAACUGGGGACCUAUCGAUAUUUACAUUAUUAUCGACAAUGAAAAGUGCCCUGCAAAACGGGUCACUGCUCUUAAAAUCUACUCAGUCUAGUACUCCAGUGAUUGAUCAUUUCUCAAAUCAGCACAUAAGUGAUUUAAGAAAUUUAGUUGAAACAGGACAAAUAACAAUCGAAACUUUCUUGAUCGAAGUGAUAGAGCUAUAUAUGAACGAGUUAAUUUCACAAUUUAAAUCGAGUCAAAAGUCCGAUAUCAAGUCACCAGUUUUCAAAGAGAUCGAGGAUCCUAAAAGAGUCGAAGAUGAACGCAAUAGGUAUCGAACUUCGAAUGAGAUACAACCGGUAAAUGUGAACAGUAUUGAUUCGUUUCGUAAGACCACCAGCGCUACAACAAAAGUAUUGGCACCUUUGGGAAGACCCAGCAGCAGUUAUCACCAGCUUUUCAAGCGCCUAAAACCGUGCUGCAUCAAUCAAAUGAAUAUUCAACACCGUCUGUAGAUUACUCUGGACUACAAAGUACAUCCACAAGACUGAGAUUAAAUAAUCCUUGUGCUACGGCUACGUAUGUUCCUCGUAGUUUAAAACACUCUACACCGCAAAAAAAAACCAGUUGGCGCUAAUCCUACUCUAGGGUUUUCAUUGGAGAGCGCAGGUACGGAUUAUAGUCUUGACCAGGAAUGCGAUCGUGAAUUUGAAAGAACACGUCGAAGCCUCGAAACUAUUGGUGAAGAUGAGUUCCCUGAUUAUCGACAUGAAUCGAAAUUCAAAUCACGUUUUCCACAAUUAAGAAAUAAUGAACAUCCAACUUGGAAUGUAAACACCACCAGCACUGGAAUGAAAAGUUUUGGCACCUUUGGGAAGACCCAGCAGCAGUCGUCACCGGCUUUUCAAGCGCGAAAAACCGUGCUGCGUCAAUCAAAUGAUUAUCUAACACCGUCUGUAGAUUACUCUGGACCACGAAGUACAUCCACAAGACGGAGACUUAAUAUGUCUUGUGCUACGGCUACGUAUGUUCCUAGUAGUUUAAGUGACUCGACACCGCAUAAAAAAAAUCAGUUUCCGUUAAUCCUACUCUAGGGUUUUCAUUGGAGAGCGCAAGUACAGAUUUUGGCUGGACCAGGAAUCCGAUCGAGAAUCACAUCGAACAUUGACUAGAUAUACGGAUGCAGAAUUCCUUGAAGAUUCGCUUAUAAUUGGAUCUCUGGACACUGACGCUGGAGAGUUAGUGACUACUUCAGCGAAUAUUGACGUGGUAGAUAUCCAUGAAAGUCCCUCAUCUGACAACAACGACGUCGCACAUUCGAUUCCAAGGUUGCUGACAACUCCGAAUUCUGAAGUUUUACCUCCACCGGUAGAAUUUUCUACGGUUAAUGUAGUUGCAGAGGUAAUCGAAAAUCCGCUUCACAACGAAUCUACUGGAAGAGGAGAUGGAGGGUUAUCGACUGCUCCAGUUAAUUCCAGAUCGCUGCCAAUAUCAAGUCCUGAAGUUCAACCUCCAGCUGAAGAAUUUUCUACGAGCAAUGUGGUUGCAGAGGUAAUCUAGAAUCCUCUUUUAAACCAAUCUGCUGGCAGAGGAGAAGAAGAGUCUCCUUCAGGUAAUGCGGCGCCAGAUAUACUUGAGGAUACCCUUCGUCUCGGAUCUGAUGACAGCGAUAAUAAAGAUAAUCCUGGAACUUCAGGGACUGCCGCCGCGGGACGCUUUGAAAAUGAUAUUGUCGUCAUUGAUUCAGAUAGUGAACAAGAUGAUGAUGAAAACCAGCGCUGCUGCUGCUGUCGAGUAAAUCGAGCGGUAAUUGCGUACACCGAGUGUGGACACAUGUGUGUGUGUGUGUGAGUCCUGUUCCUUAAGAGUUAGAGAUGGCCGGUGUCCGAUAUGCCGGAAGAGGUCGAAAUUUAUCCGCAUUUUUAUGAACUUGUAAACAGCUUCUACUUAGCCAAGAAAUUUCUUUCUGGGCACAUGUUUCUACUGAGUGUUCUGUAAAUGAAUAAGUACUUAAAUAAUGUUAAGAAAUAUUUAUAUAAAUGACGUAUGAUUAGAUGCAAUUAUUAUUAUUAAGAAAAUAAUUUUUACUAUA
rnacentral:lncRNA from 1 species